rnacentral:lncRNA from 1 species
CUGUAUCCACAGAAUCUAGAACAGUGCCUAGCACGUAGCAGAGAUGCAGUCAAUAUUGAUGACUUAAUGGAGAUCAGUACUGUUGUUAUUCUUUAGGUUGGCACUCUGUGAUAGCAACACAAGACUUAGUUCACCAUCACUGAAUUCGUGCAUUAAGAGCUAGCAUGAUAGUAGUGUACCAUCAGACCCACCUGCAGGAUUGAAGCUCCUGGGCACUCAGUCCACCAGCUGCUGGGACCAUUGCCUCUUUGAGCACUGCCCUGGGCUGAUGAGAGUUGCCUUGUCUGAAGUCACGGCUUUUUCCUAAAAGCAGUUCACAUCCAGUAACUUGUAGAUGCUCUUUGUAAAGCGCUGACUUACUUGUUCCAAUUCAGGACAAGGCUCAAGGGCAAUCCCAGAUCCCUGAGAUGUUGGCUGAAACCUCCCUUACUCCUGCAUCCCAGCCCGACUUCUUCCUCUGCCCAGUCCUGCUUCCUUUACUCUCAUACAUGGGUUGAUCCUGAGAGCUUUCUGUUACAAAGUUUCUGCUUCUAAAUUUCCAUCCCAGACUCUGCUCCCCGUGAUCUUUGAUAGUGACUUUUUAUUACUGUUUGUGGAAACUUAGAUUCCUCGCGUGUGCAAAUGCCUAACCCUCACAUCACAGAGAAGUCACACCAUAUACCUUCUCAAGGCAAGGGCUUCUUUCCAAAGUAAUACACAAGCUACUCCACCACUUCCCCGAGAUUAGCUUCUUUUGUUCAUCCAUUGAACAGUGACGGCUGUGUGCCCCGCGCCAGGCUAGACUUGCAAAUGGAGAAGUUAGUUCUUUCUCAAGGUUCUCCACCAAGAUCUGCAUGUUUCCAUUUCCUUCAUGGGAUUGGAAACUGUCAUUUUAUUGGCUGCGAUCUAAGUUACAAUGUGUAUUUUCGUAAGAGCAAUUGUGUCUUCCAUACUGCUUCCUGUAUAACCUUCUUAAGAUCACCUCAGGAGUGUGAUUUUGCUUAAAUAUGCCCAUAUAGCAUUAAAUCUAAACAUACGCUGGGGAGUCCUUGGUGUGGCACAUGGGUUAAGGAUCCAGUGUGGCCACAGUUGUGGUAUAGGUUGUACCUUCAGCUCAGAUUCUAUCUCUGGCCCAGGAAUUUCUAUAUGCUGCAGAUGUGGCUAAAAAUUAUAUACAAAUUAAAUAAAUCAGAAAAUAAAAGUAAGUUGGGUUAUUCUGGGCAUCUUCUUCUCUGUUUGUCUGAUGUAUCCUGGGGAUUUGUCUAAGCUCAUUCAUUCAGGUCUUCUUCAUUCUUUGUGAGAAAGGCUGCUUAGUUUUUAUUCUUAUUUAUAACUUACAAAGAAGAAUAAUAAAUAGUCCUUUAUUUUGUGAUUAAUAAUCAUUUGAUAUUCAACAAAUAUUUAUCAAGUGGUUCUAAAGCCAGCAGGCUUUUGAACUCUGAACAAGACCAGUGAUGUCUGUAGCUUCAAGAAAACAGGGUUCUAGCGGGCGAAUCAGAAGAUAAGAAUGUGAAGAGAAGAAAAAGAUCUUUUCAGAGAGGAGGAAAUGUGAAGAAAUGGAAUAGGAUGGUGCCUAGUGAAGACAAGAGGCUGAAAAAGCUCCCUAAACUGGCCAUUCGGAGAAGGUCUCUCUCAGGAGAUGACGUUAAGGCGGAGUCUAGAGAGAUGCAAGGAGACAAAAACAGGAGUCGAGGACGUAGGCAUCCGAAGAGAAAGCAGAGCCCGUGCCAGUGAUCUGAGACAGGAGCAGCUUCUUCAAGGCCCACACCAAAGUCAGUGUGCUUGAACUCAGGGAGUGUAAAGUGUUUACUGAGGAGGCUGUGUCUGAAAUACAGUGUAGCCUCUGACAAAAACAUCUCAUGGAAUGUCCCAUCUCUGAGCAUCACACUUGAAAUUAUUUAAUCUAACAUAUGUAUUAAGCAUUUUCUGUGCAUCGAAGAGACAAGAGUCAGCAAAGUGGACAUACCCUCUGCUCUCACUGAGCUUGUGGCCGGUAGAAGAGA